rnacentral:sRNA from 1 species
CGUCAGCUCGUGUCGUGAGAUGUUGGGUUAAGUCCCGCAACGAGCGCAACCCCUGCCCUCUGUUGCUACCGGGUCAUGCCGGGCACUCUGAGGGGACUGCCUCGGUUAACGGGGAGGAAGGUGGGGAUGACGUCAAGUCCUCAUGGCCUUUAUGCCUAGGGCUACACACGUGCUACAAUGGUCAGGACAAAGGGUUGCUACUUCGCAAGGAGACGCCAAUCCCAAAAACCUGGCCCCAGUUCGGAUGGUCGGCUGCAACUCGCCGGCUUGAAGCUGGAAUCGCUAGUAAUCGGAGAUCAGCACGCUCCGGUGAAUACGUUCCCGGGCCUUGUACACACCGCCCGUCACACCACGAAAGCUGCGUGUACCCGAAGUCGCUGAGCUAACCCGCAAGGGAGGCAGGUGCCGAAGGUAUGCGGGGUGAUUGGGGUGAAGUCGUAACAAGGUAGCCGUAGGGGAACCUGCGGCUGGAUCACCUCCUUUCUAACAGGUUGUUGAAGUGGCGCCGAGCGUCACUGACAAACCCAUUUUCCUCACUGCGCAGACGUCUCUCUAGCGCUGUCAAUUCGCUCUUUGACAUGAUGGCAAACGACUGAGACCCAGUCCGUUCCUUAAUAGAUGGGUCAAGUAACGAAGAGCAUACGGUGGAUACCUAGGCACACAGAGA